GAUGAACGCUGGCGGCGUGCCUAAUACAUGCAAGUCGAGCGAACAGACGAGGAGCUUGCUCCUCUGACGUUAGCGGCGGACGGGUGAGUAACACGUGGAUAACCUACCUAUAAGACUGGGAUAACUUCGGGAAACCGGAGCUAAUACCGGAUAAUAUAUUGAACCGCAUGGUUCAAUAGUGAAAGACGGUUUUGCUGUCACUUAUAGAUGGAUCCGCGCCGCAUUAGCUAGUUGGUAAGGUAACGGCUUACCAAGGCAACGAUGCGUAGCCGACCUGAGAGUGCAACACGCAGAACACGACACGAGACGCGGUGUAGACGCCGAGGAGAGGCAGCAGUAGGGAAUCUGCCAGGAUGGGUGAAAGACUGACCGGACGACGGCGGGUGAUUGAAUAAGGUCUUCGGAUAGUAAAACUUUGUAAGUAAGAAAGAAAACAGUUGAAAGUAACUACGACCGUCUUGACGCGACCUAAGCAGACAGCCACGGAUAACUACGCACCAGCAGCGGCAGUAAUAGAAGAGCAGACGUCUGAAC
rnacentral:rRNA from 1 species